rnacentral:tRNA from 2 species
GCUCCCAUGGCACAGCUGGAUAGCGCGGCCCCCUCCUAAGGGGCAGGUCACAGGUUCAAAUCCUGUUGGGAGCG